rnacentral:rRNA from 1 species
UACGUAGGUGGCGAGCGUUAUCCGGAUUUACUGGGCGUAAAGGGAGCGUAGGCGGCUUAGUAAGUCAGAAGUGAAAGCCCGCAGCUCAACUGCGGGACUGCUUUUGAAACUGCCAGGCUAGAGUGUCGGAGAGGUAAGUGGAAUUCCUAGUGUAGCGGUGAAAUGCGUAGAUAUUAGGAGGAACACCAGUGGCGAAGGCGGCUUACUGGACGAUGACUGACGCUGAAGCACGAAAGCGUGGGGAGCAAAUAGG